rnacentral:lncRNA from 1 species
UUAAAAAAGAAGAUGUGGUAUGAUUGCCAAUGAGACAACUAUCCACAAAAGACCAAAAUGACACAGACAUUAACAACUAUAGGUCACCGUACGGCCUUCAACAAUGAGCAAAGCCAUACCGCAUAGUGAGCUACAAAAGGCCCCGAUAAGACAAUGUAAAACAAUUCAAACGAGAAAACUAACGGCCUUAUUUAUGUAAAAAAAUGAACGAAAAACAAAUAUGUAGCAUAUAAACAAACGACAACCACUGAAUUACAGGCUCCUGACUUGGGACAGGCACAUACAUAAAUAAUGUGGCGGGGUUAAACAUGUUAGUGGGAUCCCAACCCGCCCC